UAAGCGACUAAGCGUACACGGUGGAUGCCCUGGCAGUCAGAGGCGAUGAAGGACGUGCUAAUCUGCGAAAAGCGCCGGCGAGGUGAUAUGAACCCUUGACCCGGCGAUGUCCGAAUGGGGAAACCCAGUGUGUUCCGACACACUAUCGUUAACUGAAUACAUAGGUUAACGAGGCGAACCGGGGGAACUGAAACAUCUAAGUACCCCGAGGAAAAGAAAUCAACCGAGAUUCCCCCAGUAGCGGCGAGCGAACGGGGAGCAGCCCGGAGUCUGAAUCAGCUUGUGUGUUAGUGGAACGGUCUGGAAAGUCCGACGGUACAGGGUGAUAGUCCCGUACACGAAAAUGCACAGGUUGUGAACUCGAAGAGUAGGGCGGGACACGUGGUAUCCUGUCUGAAUAUGGGGGGACCAUCCUCCAAGGCUAAAUACUCCUGACUGACCGAUAGUGAACCAGUACCGUGAGGGAAAGGCGAAAAGAACCCCGGCGAGGGGAGUGAAAAAGAACCUGAAACCGUGUACGUACAAGCAGUGGGAGCCUCUUUAUGGGGUGACUGCGUACCUUUUGUAUAAUGGGUCAGCGACUUAUAUUCUGUAGCAAGGUUAACCGUAUAGGGGAGCCGAAGGGAAACCGAGUCUUAACUGGGCGUUAAGUUGCAGGGUAUAGACCCGAAACCCGGUGAUCUAGCCAUGGGCAGGUUGAAGGUUGGGUAACACUAACUGGAGGACCGAACCGACUAAUGUUGAAAAAUUAGCGGAUGACCUGUGGCUGGGGGUGAAAGGCCAAUCAAACCGGGAGAUAGCUGGUUCUCCCCGAAAGCUAUUUAGGUAGCGCCUCGUGAACUCAUCUUCGGGGGUAGAGCACUGUUUCGGCUAGGGGGCCAUCCCGGCUUACCAACCCGAUGCAAACUACGAAUACCGAAGAAUGUUAUCACGGGAGACACACGGCGGGUGCUAACGUCCGUCGUGAAGAGGGAAACAACCCAGACCGCCAGCUAAGGUCCCAAAGUCAUGGUUAAGUGGGAAACGAUGUGGGAAGGCACAGACAGCCAGGAUGUUGGCUUAGAAGCAGCCAUCAUUUAAAGAAAGCGUAAUAGCUCACUGGUCGAGUCGGCCUGCGCGGAAGAUGUAACGGGGCUAAACCAUGCACCGAAGCUGCGGCAGCGACACUAUGUGUUGUUGGGUAGGGGAGCGUUCUGUAAGCCGUUGAAGGUGUGCUGUGAGGCAUGCUGGAGGUAUCAGAAGUGCGAAUGCUGACAUAAGUAACGAUAAAGCGGGUGAAAAGCCCGCUCGCCGGAAGACCAAGGGUUCCUGUCCAACGUUAAUCGGGGCAGGGUGAGUCGACCCCUAAGGCGAGGCCGAAAGGCGUAGUCGAUGGGAAACAGGUUAAUAUUCCUGUACUUGGUGUUACUGCGAAGGGGGGACGGAGAAGGCUAUGUCAGCCGGGCGACGGUUGUCCCGGUUUAAGCAUGUAGGCGGAGGUUCCAGGUAAAUCCGGUACCUUAUUAACGCUGAGGUGUGAUGACGAGGCACUACGGUGCUGAAGUGAUAAAUGCCCUGCUUCCAGGAAAAGCCUCUAAGCAUCAGGUAACACGAAAUCGUACCCCAAACCGACACAGGUGGUCAGGUAGAGAAUACCAAGGCGCUUGAGAGAACUCGGGUGAAGGAACUAGGCAAAAUGGUGCCGUAACUUCGGGAGAAGGCACGCUGAUAUGUAGGUGAAGUCCCUGCGGACGGAGCUGAAAUCAGUCGAAGAUACCAGCUGGCUGCAACUGUUUAUUAAAAACACAGCACUGUGCAAACACGAAAGUGGACGUAUACGGUGUGACGCCUGCCCGGUGCCGGAAGGUUAAUUGAUGGGGUUAGCGGCAACGCGAAGCUCUUGAUCGAAGCCCCGGUAAACGGCGGCCGUAACUAUAACGGUCCUAAGGUAGCGAAAUUCCUUGUCGGGUAAGUUCCGACCUGCACGAAUGGCGUAAUGAUGGCCAGGCUGUCUCCACCCGAGACUCAGUGAAAUUGAACUCGCUGUGAAGAUGCAGUGUACCCGCGGCAAGACGGAAAGACCCCGUGAACCUUUACUAUAGCUUGACACUGAACACUGGUCCUUGAUGUGUAGGAUAGGUGGGAGGCUUUGAAGCGUGGACGCCAGUCUGCGUGGAGCCGCCCUUGAAAUACCACCCUUUAAUGGCUGGUGUUCUAACGUAGACCCGUAAUCCGGGUUGCGGACAGUGUCUGGUGGGUAGUUUGACUGGGGCGGUCUCCUCCCAAAGAGUAACGGAGGAGCACGAAGGUUGGCUAAUCCUGGUCGGACAUCAGGAGGUUAGUGCAAUGGCAUAAGCCAGCUUGACUGCGAGCGUGACGGCGCGAGCAGGUGCGAAAGCAGGUCAUAGUGAUCCGGUGGUUCUGAAUGGAAGGGCCAUCGCUCAACGGAUAAAAGGUACUCCGGGGAUAACAGGCUGAUACCGCCCAAGAGUUCAUAUCGACGGCGGUGUUUGGCACCUCGAUGUCGGCUCAUCACAUCCUGGGGCUGAAGUAGGUCCCAAGGGUAUGGCUGUUCGCCAUUUAAAGUGGUACGCGAGCUGGGUUUAGAACGUCGUGAGACAGUUCGGUCCCUAUCUGCCGUGGGCGCUGGAGAAUUGAGGGGGGCUGCUCCUAGUACGAGAGGACCGGAGUGGACGCAUCACUGGUGUUCGGGUUGUCAUGCCAAUGGCACUGCCCGGUAGCUAAAUGCGGAAGAGAUAAGUGCUGAAAGCAUCUAAGCACGAAACUUGCCCCGAGAUGAGUUCUCCCUGAGACUUUAAGUCUCCUGAAGGAACGUUGAAGACGACGACGUUGAUAGGUCGGGUGUGUAAGCGCAGCGAUGCGUUGAGCUAACCGAUACUAAUGAACCGUGAGGCUUAACCU
rnacentral:rRNA from 1 species